rnacentral:rRNA from 1 species
AUGCAGUCCGCGUGCUAUACAUGCAGUCGAGCGGACAGAAGGGAGCUUGCUCCCGGAUGUUAGCGGCGGACGGGUGAGUAACACGUGGGUAACCUGCCUGUAAGACUGGGAUAACUCCGGGAAACCGGAGCUAAUACCGGAUAGUUCCUUGAACCGCAUGGUUCAAGGAUGAAAGACGGUUUCGGCUGUCACUUACAGAUGGACCCGCGGCGCAUUAGCUAGUUGGUGAGGUAACGGCUCACCAAGGCGACGAUGCGUAGCCGACCUGAGAGGGUGAUCGGCCACACUGGGACUGAGACACGGCCCAGACUCCUACGGGAGGCAGCAGUAGGGAAUCUUCCGCAAUGGACGAAAGUCUGACGGAGCAACGCCGCGUGAGUGAUGAAGGUUUUCGGAUCGUAAAGCUCUGUUGUUAGGGAAGAACAAGUGCAAGAGUAACUGCUUGCACCUUGACGGUACCUAACCAGAAAGCCACGGCUAACUACGUGCCAGCAGCCGCGGUAAUACGUAGGUGGCAAGCGUUGUCCGGAAUUAUUGGGCGUAAAGGGCUCGCAGGCGGUUUCUUAAGUCUGAUGUGAAAGCCCCCGGCUCAACCCGGGGAGGGUCAUUGGAAACUGGGAAACUUGAGUGCAGAAGAGGGAGAGUGGAAUUCCACGUGUAGCGGUGAAAUGCGUAGAGAUGUGGGAGGAACACCAGUGGCGAAGGCGACUCUCUGGUCUGUAACUGACGCUGAGGAGCGAAAGCGUGGGGAGCGAACAGGAUUAGAUACCCCUGGUAGUCCACGCCGUAAACGAUGAGUGCUAGUUGUGGUAUGAGGGGGUUUCCGCCCCCUUAGGGCUGCAGCUAACGCAUUAAGCACUCCGCCCUGGGGGAGUACGGUCGCAAGACUGAAACUCAAAGGAAAUUGACGGGGGCCCGCACAAGCGGUGGAGACACUAUUGUGUUUAAUUCGAAGCAACGCGAAGAACCCUUACCAGGUCUUGACAUCCCUCUGACACCCUAGAAGAAUAGGGCUUUCCCUUCGGGGACAGAAGAGUACACAGUGAGGCACCAUGUUUGUCG